GCACCAGUGGUUUAGUGGUAGAAUAGUACCCUGCCACAGUACUGAUCCGGGUUCUAUUCCCAACUGAUGCA
rfam:Lupinus angustifolius cultivar Tanjil contig_38702, whole genome shotgun sequence.